GACGAACGCUGGCGGCGUGCUUAACACAUGCAAGUCGAACGGAAAGGCCCUGCUUUUGUUGGGUGCUCGAUUGGCGAACGGGUGAGUAACACGUGAGUAACCUGCCCUUGACUUUGGGAUAACUUCAGGUAACUGGGGCUAAUACCGGAUAGGAGCUCCUGCUGCAUGUUGUUGGUUGGAAAUUUUCGGCGGUUGGGGAUGGACUCGCGGCUUAUCAGCUUGUUGGUGUGGUAGUGGCUUACCAAGGCUUUGACGGGUAGCCGGCCUGAGCGGGUGACCGGCGACAUGAGGACUGAGGUACGGACCAGACGGCUACGGGAGGCAGCGGGGGGGAAUAUUGCACAGUGGGCGGAAGCCUGAGACAGCGACGCCGGGUGCGGGAUGACGGCCUUCGGGGUGUAAACCGCUUUGGCCUGUGACGAAGAGUGAGUGACGGUAAUGGGUAAAGAAGCACCGGCUAACUACGUG
rnacentral:rRNA from 1 species